rnacentral:rRNA from 1 species
UGAGACAGGUGCUGCAUGGCUGUCGUCAGCUCGUGUUGUGAAAUGUUGGGUUAAGUCCCGCAACGAGCGCAACCCUUAUCCUUUGUUGCCAGCGGUCGCCGGCGAACUCAAAGGAGACUGCCAGUGAUAAACUGGAGGAAGGUGGGGAUGACGUCAAGUCAUCAUGGCCCUUACGACCAGGGCUACACACGUGCUACAAUGG